GAUGAAGAACGUAGCGAAAUGCGAUAAGUAAUGUGAAUUGCAGAAUUCAGUGAAUCAUCGAAUCUUUGAACGCACCUUGCGCUCCUUGGUAUUCCGAGGAGCAUGCCUGUUUGAGUGUCAUGAAAUUCUCAACCUUUUCAGCUUUCUUUGUUGAUCAGGCUUGGAUGUGGGAGUAUGCGGGCUUCUCAGAAGACGGCUCUCCUGAAAUGCAUUAGCGGGACCUUUGUUGCCUGGCUUUGGUGUGAUAAUUAUCUACGCCAUUGUAGUCAAGCAGCUUAAAAUGAGGUUUCAGCUUCUAACCGUCUCCCCUGAGACAACUUUUUGACAAUUUGACCUCAAAUCAGGUAGGACUACCCGCUGAACUUAAGCAUAUCAAUAAGCGGAGGA
rnacentral:misc_RNA from 1 species